UUGACUGCAAGAACUCGCCUUGAGCAGGAUAGAGGCACGUGGACGGUGACCCUCGGGAUGCAAUAAAUGCUGAGACAGAUCAGGUGUGCAAGGCACAGAGCUAGAGGCCAGAGGCCUUUCUUCUCCAACCUUCAGUCACCUCUUUUUAAAGUGAAGCCAGCAUCCUCCUCGGGGUUUACUGUGAAAAUUAAGUGAGCUGACGCGUGCUGUGUUUUGAUGUUGCUUGGCUCCUACAAACAUUGAGUGGGCCAGACACUGUUCUGAAAAAUACGCAGUCGACUUUUGAACAGCACAGGCUUGAACUGCAUGCGGCCACUAAUACUCGGACUUUCUUCUGCCUUUGCCACCCCUAAGACAGCAAGACCCACCCCUCCUGCUCCUCAGCCUACUCGAUGUGAUGAUGCUUCAAACCGUGAAAUUAAAAAGCUACUCUGCAGGGACAGGAAAUGAUCAGCACUGCAGAAAUAGAGUUGGAGAGAUGCUUUCCUUGUGGUCCAUUUCUGGCCAUUUCAUUAUCUCUGUCUUGAUGGGACUCUAUGGAGCAGGAACCACCUCUUAGCCUGGCAUUGUGGCAAGAGCCUCAGUUCUCUGUCAGACAAGCUUGGGUUCAAAUCCCAGUCACUUAUUAAUAAUGAGUUCUUUCAAGGUUAUGUCCUCAUCUAUGAAUAAAAGAUAAAAAUGCAUCCAUCAGGUUGUUGUACAUGUAUAUUAGUCUGUUCUCAUGCUGCUGAUAAAGAUAUACCCAAGGCUGUGUAAUGUAUAAAGGAAAAAAAAAGAGCUUUAAUGGACUCACAGUUCCACGUGGCUGGGAAGGCCUCACAAUCAUGGCAGGAGGUGAAAGGCACAUCUUACAUGGUGACAGACAAGGAGAGACUGAGAGCUAAGCGAAAGGGGUUUCCACUUAUAAAACCAUCAGAUCUCAUGAGACUAAUUCACUACCAUGAGAACAGUAUGGGGGAAACUGCCCCCAUGAUUCAACUAUCUCCCACCAGUCCCUCCCACAACUCGUGGGAAUUAUGGGAGCUGCAAGUCAAGAUGAGAUUUGGGUGGGGACACAGCCAAACCAUGUCAAUGUGUUAAAUGAGAUGAUCCAUAUAAAGUGUGUAGCACAGCAUCUGGUGUAGUUAGUCAUAAAAAAAUCCAGCCAUCAUGGCAAUGGGGAUGUUGAGGAUGAAACCAGACAGAAGAAACUUCAGACUGGCAAUGCCAAGGUAGCUGGAGGUGGUGAGAAGUCUUCUUUAGAUUUUGGAAGGAAGCUUGGUUCCUUUCAGUCCUCUAUAUCACCCAACGAAUGUGUGUUGUUCAAGAGCGAAGACUGAGACGGUACCUUGGACAAGUGUUUGGAAUUAAAGGAAGCACUUAGAAAGUAAUCGGCCACAUGGUUUGGGUAAAUCUCAGAGAAUGUUUCUGGGAUUUGGAAUAUUUAUUCUGGAGAAGAGAAGAUUUAGGGGUUGGAUGAAAUGAAAGUCCUCAAGCACAUGAACCAGUGGUGGAGAGCAGCUGUUCCCUAUUUCUGUUUUGGACUGAAUGAGAGGAAAUGAGCUUACAUUGAAGCAUGAGGGAUUUAGGCUAAACAUGAAGAAGAAUUUCCUGGAUGUGGGUGUUGUUGGACUUUGGAAUGAGUUACCAAGGUGUCUACAAUAAGGACAGUGUCUCUCUGGCUGCAGAUCUUGAAGUGUGGAAGCAUUGGCUCCAUGCAGGAAUGUCUACACUCACACGCUCUUUCCAAGUGGGAGAGUCUGUGACAUUAACGGGAUCUUCUAACGUGAGGAUAUGAGUCUCAGUCAACCCCAAACCACUGUCCAAAACCUUGAUCUAGCAUAAGAAAUGGUUGUGGUAGGAGCUGGAUGACUAUCUCUGGCAAUCUGCAGUUUGACAUUCCACAAAUACCAUGAUUGCUUAUGUAGGCUACUCCAGCGACCAAACACCUCCCCUCUUUGAAAUGUAUCAAGAAAUUCUCUGCAGGGCUUCUUUCACCAAAAGUGCAUUUAAUAGAGCUUGGAAUUUCCUCACAAUGCAUUUAUUUUUGUUGAUAUAUUUUUAGGUCUCCAUUAUUACUUGUCUGCACCUUCCUUUGCUUUAUAGGCAUAAGCUAUCAAUAACCGGGCAUUGACCACACUGUGGGGGUUCUCCCCUGCCCUCCCAUGGAAGCUAAGUCUUUAGCUGUUAAUUUCAGAAGGUUUUAAGCCAACCACUAGUUUUCAUUAUUGUACAUCAAAAAGGCAGGCAAAUCGCAGCAGCUGUAAGUUCAAAGGACACAAAGGUCUCACUGUGAGCAUCACAGCAAAUAGUUUUGGGUUCCCCUCACCCCAAAAGUAGCCCAUGGUGGGUUAAGUUUUUAUUUUUAAAUAGAUUUAGAGUUGAAUAACUAGCCCUUGUAAGGGACUUCAACAAAGAGGCUGUAUAUUGGCACAUAUUAAAUAUGCCCCUAUACACCCCAAAUUGUUUUGUCCAAAAUGUCUCGUUUAUUAUAAUUUCAUUGGUAAAGCCCCUGAUUGUAGCCCAGGGACUUUCACAUAUUGGCUGCCUCCUGUUGGACCCACAGGCCUCUAUUGGUGAUUCCAAAUCAGCCGUGCGUGGCCCUCGGUCCCCUCCUGUAGAGGGACUGGGUGAUGGUACCUAUAAACCAACAGAAUAGCUCUUUUCCAGCAAAUCCCCCACAGACUCCAGAAAAAUAUGCAAGCAGUCCUUUUACUUCAAGUUUCUACCCACACAGGGUCAACAGAGGGAGGAGAGGCAGAGGCAGCUGCCCUAGAAGCAGCCAUCGUCCCAGUCCCACAGCCAGUGUGAAAUCUUAGCCCUCUUUUCCUUACGGCCGUGGCCGCUCUUCUAGUCAGCACCGAAAUCUCCUCCCUGAAGAGCUUCUUUCUCUUCCUCCCUUCUUCCUUCCUCCACUUCUUGGUCCACUGAAGUCCCUGGAGAUCCCCUGGGUCCUGUCCUCUUUGAGUUGUCAUUGUCUUUGCUUCUGUUGCUCAUGCCAGGGCUAAAGGAAAUUUGCUGCGCCCCCCUAGGUACUGUUGUCAGAGUGGACUCUGGGUCAAAGAGUCAGACCUUUCAUUGGUGUGCUUCAGGUCUAAGCUUUGCAAGCUCUUUCUCUAUGUUACGUCUGCCUCCUUCUUCUUUAGUUUGUCUUUUAUUUGUCCUAGCCUUGAGGAGUGAAGGUUCCAGGAAAUUGAGGAUGGGAAUAUAGUGGAAAAUCCAUUCCCCACAGGAAAAUAUUCUGAAAUUUCUGGCUUGGGUGACAGGCUGUCAUUGAUAGAGAUAGAUAAUGAUGAAGGUGAUGAUAAUGAUAGCCAAUCCUAUGUAGCACUCAUUAAGUACCAAGCACUAUUAAGUGCUUGAGGGAGAAUAAAUCAUACAAUCC